ensembl:snRNA U6 U6 spliceosomal RNA
GUGCUCGCUUCGGCAGCACAUAUACUAAAAUUGGAAUGAUACAGAGAAGAUUAGCAUGCCCCUGCGCA